rnacentral:rRNA from 2 species
UGCCUAAUACAUGCAAGUCGAACGAACUCUGGUAUUGAUUGGUGCUUGCAUCAUGAUUUACAUUUGAGUGAGUGGCGAACUGGUGAGUAACACGUGGGAAACCUGCCCAGAAGCGGGGGAUAACACCUGGAAACAGAUGCUAAUACCGCAUAACAACUUGGACCGCAUGGUCCGAGCUUGAAAGAUGGCUUCGGCUAUCACUUUUGGAUGGUCCCGCGGCGUAUUAGCUAGAUGGUGGGGUAACGGCUCACCAUGGCAAUGAUACGUAGCCGACCUGAGAGGGUAAUCGGCCACAUUGGGACUGAGACACGGCCCAAACUCCUACGGGAGGCAGCAGUAGGGAAUCUUCCACAAUGGACGAAAGUCUGAUGGAGCAACGCCGCGUGAGUGAAGAAGGGUUUCGGCUCGUAAAACUCUGUUGUUAAAGAAGAACAUAUCUGAGAGUAACUGUUCAGGUAUUGACGGUAUUUAACCAGAAAGCCACGGCUAACUACGUGCCAGCAGCCGCGGUAAUACGUAGGUGGCAAGCGUUGUCCGGAUUUAUUGGGCGUAAAGCGAGCGCAGGCGGUUUUUUAAGUCUGAUGUGAAAGCCUUCGGCUCAACCGAAGAAGUGCAUCGGAAACUGGGAAACUUGAGUGCAGAAGAGGACAGUGGAACUCCAUGUGUAGCGGUGAAAUGCGUAGAUAUAUGGAAGAACACCAGUGGCGAAGGCGGCUGUCUGGUCUGUAACUGACGCUGAGGCUCGAAAGUAUGGGUAGCAAACAGGAUUAGAUACCCUGGUAGUCCAUACCGUAAACGAUGAAUGCUAAGUGUUGGAGGGUUUCCGCCCUUCAGUGCUGCAGCUAACGCAUUAAGCAUUCCGCCUGGGGAGUACGGCCGCAAGGCUGAAACUCAAAG